GGCAGGUGGACCUAAAAGGCUUGGAAAGGGAAAAGGCUGGUUAGCUUCCAGCCUGGCAAAGUUUGCUACCACUGCAGCCUACAGGAACGCUUUAAGAAGAUUGUCCCAAGAGGAAUGGACCACCUCCUUAUCCUUGCCCACUGUGCCAAGGGGAUCACUGGAAGGCACACUGUCCUAGGGAACAAAGGUUCCCAGGGCCUGAGGUUACUAACCAGAUGACCCAACAGCAGGACUGAAGGUACCCAGGGAAAGCACCAGCACAAGCCAUCGCCCUCUCUGAGCCCCAGGUACAGCUAACCAUAGGAGACCAGGGGAUCGAUCUUGGCCUGGACACCAGCAUGGCCUUCUCAGUUUUGCUCUUCUGUCCUGGACAGUUGUCCUCCAAGUCUGCAACUAUCUGAGGAGUCCUAGCACAAGCAGUCACCAGAUAUUUCUCCCAGCCCCUAGCCAGGCACUUAAGACUUUACCUGAAGGGCACCCUAAGGAAAAAGGAACAGAGUUAUUCUGCCCUGGAAAUUUAGUAUUUGUCAAGUCUCUCCCCUCCGACUCUCUCUCCCUAAGUCCAUCUGGGGAAGGACAAUUUUCAGUCCUUCUGUCUACUGCAAUGGCAGUUGAGGUGGUGGGAAUUGACUUGUGGAUCUGUCACAUUCAGCAGAAAUGUUGGACACCUCCCGAAGAAGAUCAUAGGCCCUCUGCUCCACAGCCUGAGAUUCCAGGAGGUGGUCCUUUGUACAUUUGCGAGCCAUUAGAGGAUCUAUGUUUGCUCUUCCAAUGAGAUCCCCAGGAAAGUAACUAACUCAUGAUUCACAAACUGCAUGCCUUUAAGAUUCUUGCCAAAUUUGUUUCUUCCAAAAUUGAGGCCAUGAAGCUACAAAUAGUCCUACAAAUGGAACCACAAAUGUCCUUGGCUCAUGAUUUCUAUCAUGGACCACCAAUCAAUCUGCAAGCCCGGAAGACUCCCCUCUGGAGGAAACUACAACUGCAGGACUCAUUCUAUGCCCCAGUUCAGCAGGAAGUAGUGAGAGCAACUGAUGAUCAUGUCCCAACAGCACUUGGACUUUCCUGUUCAAAAAGGGGACUGAGAGACUGUUUUAGAGGAACUUCCUGGGUUGGCUAUGGACUUUGUUCCAGUGCAGGACUUUUCCUACCUCUGGC
rnacentral:lncRNA from 13 species